AGUGAACGCUGGCGGCGUGCCUAAUACAUGCAAGUCGAACGGAGUGGCGCACGGGUGAGUAAUAUAUAGCUAAUCUGCCCAUUGCUGGAGGACAACAGUUAGAAAUGACUGCUAAUACUCCAUAGAAAGGGAUGAGACUAUAUCGUAUCAGCUAGUCGGUGGGGUAACGGCCUACCGAGGCUAUGACGCGUAACUGGUCUGAGAGGAUGAUCAGUCACGUUGUAAGUGAGGCACGGUCCAAACACCGACGGGAGGGAGCGGUAGUGAAUAUUGCGCAGUGGGGGUAUCCCUGAGGGAGCAACGCCGCGUGAAGGAUGACACUUUUCGGAGCGUAAACUCCGUUUGUUAGGGAAGCGGUACCUGACGAAUAAGCACCGGCUAACUCCGUGCCAGCAGCCGCGGUAAUAC
rnacentral:rRNA from 1 species